CCGGCAUGAGGGGAGAGGGAGUGUUGGUGAUUGAAACCCCAUUCAAGUUUUUCGAUUUUUUUUUAUUUUGUGGAAUUUCAGGGUGUUCCGUGGUUUGGAUCCCGCACCUGAUCUGAUAUCGUCAUUGAUAGUAUUAAAUGAUGAUGAUCCGAUCAUUCAACUGAUUUUUUUUAUAGUUUGGUCUUGUGUUGUGAUAGGUUUUUUUUUUUUAGAAAUGAGCGCACACAGACAUUUUUAACCCCGCCAAAUUCUGUAUGUACCUGUUUUAAGUCAAAAGCCCGUAGUUCAGUGUUUGUCGUUUUUUCGUGUAUGUCAUAUAUGUUUUUCGUAAAUUGUUUUAUUAUGAAUUAGGCCGUCAGUUUGUGUAUUAAUUCUUAUUUUUCAUGUCGGAACCUGUUAUUGCCGACUAUAAUUGCUUAAAUCCAUUUAUUUUUUUAACUUUGAAAAUCCUAUCACAUCUCCUUAUUUUUAUAUUGAAGAUAUAAAU
rnacentral:lncRNA from 1 species